rnacentral:lncRNA from 1 species
GCAGGGGCUCACACCUGUAAUCUCAGCACUUUGGGAGGCUGAGGUGGGAGGAUCACUUGAGCUCAGGAGUUCAAGACCAGCCUUGGCAACAUAGCAAGACUCCAUCUCUACAAAAAAUCAAAAAAUUAGCCAGGCAUGAUGGUGCAUGCCAUGUUGGGGUGGAAUAGUCCCAGCUACUCAGGAGGCUAAGGUGGGAGGAUUGCUUGAGCCCAGGAGAUCAAGGCUGCAGUGAGCCAUGAUUGUGCCACUGCACUCCAGCCUGGGCAGCAGAGCAAGACCCUGUCUCAAAAUAAUAAUAAUAAUAAUAUUAAUAAUAAUGUGUUUAUGAUAAUGUGGAGAAACUUUAUACAUUGCUGAUGGGAAUGUAAAAUGGUACAGCUGCUUUAGAGAAUAGUCUGGAGGUUCCUCAACAUGUGAAACAGAGAAUAAUCCUAUGACCCAGCAAUUCCACUCCUACCCAAAAGAAUUGAAAACAGGUAUUUAAACAAAACCUGACAUACAAAUGUUCAUAUACCCAAAAGAAUUGAAAACAGGUAUUUAAACAAAACCUGAUAUACAAAUGUUCAUAUACCCAAAAGAAUUGAAAACAGGUAUUUUAACAAAACCUGACAUACAAAUGUUCAUAGCAGCACUAUUCACAAUCACCAAAGGGUGGAAACAACUCAAAAGUCCAUCAACAAAGGAAUGGAUAAACCAAAUGUGGUAUAUUCCACACAAUGGACUAUUAUUCAACUUAUGAAAAGAAUGAAGUGCUGAUACCUGCUACAGCAUGAAUGAGCCUCAAAAACAUUAUUCUGGGCCAGACAUGGUGGCUCACGCCUGUAAUCCCAGCACUUCUGGAGGCUGAGGCAGGAGGAUUGCCUGAGCCUGGUCAACAUGGUGAAACCCCAUCUCUACUAAAAAUACAAACAAGGCCAAGCCCGGUGGGUCACGCCUGUCAUCCCAGCACUUUGGGAGGCCAAGGCGGGCAGAUCACCUGAGGUCGGGAGUUCGAGACCAGCCUAGCCAACAUGGUGAAACCCCAUGUCUACUAAAGAUACAAAAAAAUUAGCCAGGUAUGGUGGCACGUGCCUGUAGUCCCAGGCUACUCAGGAGGCUGAGACAGGAGAAUCACUUGAACCUGGGAGGCAGAGGUUGCAGUGAGCCAAGAUAGCGCCAGUGCACUCCAGCCUGGGUGACAGAGUGAGACUCUGUCUCAAAAAAAAAAAAAAUACAAACAAAAAAAAUUAGCUGGGCAUAGUGAACAAAUGGUAACCAGCACAUGAAACACAUGUACAGGUACGUGCCUGUAAUCCCAGCUACUUGGGAGGCUGAGGCAUGAGAAUCGCUUGAACCCAGGAGGCAGAGGUUGCAGUGAGCCAAGAUCACGCCCCUGCUCUCCAGCCUGGGCAACAGAGCAAGACUCUGUCUCAAAAAAAUAAAAUUUUAAAAUAAAAAAAAUUAUGCUGAGUUAAAGAAGCCAGACACAAUAGGUCACGUAUUGUAUGAUUCCAUUUAUAUUAAACGUCCAGAGUAGGCAAAUUCAUAGGGACAGAAAGCAGAUGAGUGGUUGUCAGGGCCUAAGGCAAGGGAGGAAUGGUAAGUGACUGUUUAAGGAGUAUAAGGUUUCUUUUCGGGAUGAUAAACAUAUUUUGGAACUACAUUAGAGGUAAUGGUUGCAUAAUAUCAUAAAUGUACUAAAUGCCAUUGAAUCAUACACUUUAAAAUGGUUAAUUUUGGUGCAUACCUGUAGUCCCAGGGACUUGGGAGGCUGACUUGAGUCCAUGAGUUCUGGGCUGUAGUGCACUCUACCAAUUGGGCAUCCACACUGAGUUUGGCAUCAAUAUGGUGACCUUCCAGGAGCAAGGGACAACCAGCGGCCUAAGGAGGGGUGAACAGCUCAGGUCAGAAACUGAACAGGUCAAAACUCUUGCGCUGAUCAGUAGAGGUAUCACACCUGUAAAUAGUCACUGUACUCCAGCCUGGACAACAUAGCAAGAUCCUAUCUCUACUAAAUAAAUAAAAUGGUUAAUUUUAUGUUGUGUGAAUUUCAUCUUUAUUUAUUUUUUAAAAAAGAACAUUGGUUGCAGUGAGCCAAGAUUGUGCCACUGUGCUGCAGCCUGGGUGACAGAGUGAGACCCUGUCUCAAAAAAAAAAAAAAAACGAGUAUUGGCUGUCAGAGCCAUUUAAGUCACUCAUGGUCAUUGCCUUCUCCACCCAGGUGGACACCAGGUCUCUCUGCCUAACAAAGGCAGGGAAUUACAGCUAGGGAGCUUUACCAACCCCACCAGGCGCUGAGGCACAGAACCCCUCUAUUGCCUGCCUCCUCUCCACCUCGGCAACUCUCUCUCUGCCUGGUGAGGCCACAGGUGCCCCUGAACCCUCAGAGGUGUCAGGACAGGAAACUGGGGCAGAGGACCAGCUCCUUAGCACUGCCCUUCCCUCAAGCUCACUAAGUGGUUCCUUCAUGGGUUUGCACAGUCAAUAAUUCACCAGCCUGCCAAGGUGCUAGCGGGACAGAAAAGCCCCCCCACUGCUCUCCUGCUAAAGGGGCCCAGGCUGAUGAGGGAGAUUCUGUCUGCUACUCCAUAAACACUGACCGUUUACUGAUGGCCUACUAUGGGCCAGCACAGCACAUGAGAUUUGACAUGAUUAUCACAUUGCAUCCUCAUGAUAACCCUGUGAGACAAACAGUGUCAAGCCCACAGUAGGAUUUUUGCGGGUCUGAGACACCUUUGCUUUUGUGGGCCCCUUCCUCUAUAAAAAUAAUACUAAAAAUUAUAUUUUACAGCUGCAUUGAUAAAAGAAUAUUUAAUAAUGUCUUAAUAUAUCAAGACGUUUUCUUUGACCUAAAUUUUCAUUUCUUUCUUCAGAUGUGAAAAGUAACCAAAACUUUUUUUUUUUUUUUUUUUGUGAGACGGAGUCUUGCUCUGUCACCCAGGCUGGAGUGUAGUGGCGCCAUCUCAGCUCACUGCUACCUCCACCUCCCGGGUUCAAGCAAUUUUCCUGCCUCAGCCUCCUGAGUAGCUGGGACUACAGGCAUGCACCACCACACUCGCCUAAUUUUUGUAAUUUUAG